ACUUGGCGAAGUAGGAGCCCUGUGUGAUCGUGUGUCAGAGUCAGGGCUGAGACUAGUCCUGGCCAGGGCAGUUACCAGAACGGUCUCCGGAGGCUGCGAUUCGCGGAGGGUCCGCCAGCAGGAAGAAACCACAGGAGGAAGAAACCUCAGACAGAUCUCCGGGGAGGCAGCGCGGGAUCCCAGCCUCAGGCGUGCGCGGACGGUGUGCUGGCAUAAAAAUCAGCAAAGUUGAAAACUGACCUGCUGGGCGCAGUGGCUCACACCUGUAAUCCUGGCACUCUGGGAGGCCGAGGCGGGUGGAUUUCCUGAGCUCAGGAGUUUGAGACUAGCCUGGGAAACAUGGCGAAACCUCAUCUCUACUAAAAAUACAAAAAACUAGCCGGGCAUGGUGGUGUGUGCCUGUAAUCCCAGAUACCCAGGAGACUGAGGCAGGAGAAUCGCUUGGACCAAGACAGCGGCACCGCACUCCAACCUGGGAGAUGGAGCAAGACUGUCAAAAAACAAAACAAAAAAACCUACUAGAAGCAAGGCUGUGAGCAGAAAACUAAAAACUGAAACAGAAACCACAAUUUUCCAAAUGCUACUGUUACUUACAAAAUAAGAAAGCAUUAUACUAAAUCAAUAUCUAGGACACAAACUAAGUUCAAACUCAACAACAGUGUAUUUAGAUUUACAUAUAUCAAGAAGAAACCAUUAAUACAGUGAACUAACAUUAACUCUAUACAGAAGUAUAUUUUUGAAAAUAAGAAAACUGCUUCUUUGAGUAACUUGUUUGGUUGACAUAUUCUGACAAAUCUUGUAACCAAGAUACCUGUGUGCUCUAUUCCUUCACUUCUAAUAAAUAACACUCACUUAAAUAACUUCACUCUACUUAAAUAACAUCUCAUCAGUGACCCCUUUCUUGACAGCUCUCAACUUGCUGGAGUGUAAUGGUGAUUCUGACAAAUGAUCAUAGCACGCUACAACCUCUACAUCCUGGGCUCAAGAGCUUCUCCUGCCUCAGCGUCCCAAGUAACUGGGACUACAGAUUUCAGUUUAGGUUUAUCAGUGGAAAGACGGAGGAAUGAGAGCUAGAGAACGAGAGCAAGUGAAGAGUAAUGGAAAGUCCAAAGGAAAAAGAUGGACAAGACGAAUGGAGGGAAACAAGAAGGAAAAGAGAGAGGCAGAGGGAGAG